UGGAAACCGAGUCUUAACGGGCGUCAAGUUGGGGGCGGUAGACGCGAAACCACGUGAUCUACGCAUGGCCAGGAUGAAGUGGGGGUAACACCCCAUGGAAGACCGAACUCAUUUGGGUUGAAAACCGAUGGGAUGAGCUGUGUGGGGGAUUGAAAGUAUCAUCAAACGUGGAGAUAGCUCGUUCUCUCCGAAAUAACUUUAGGGUUAACGUUCGACUAGUUGGCACCGGGGGUAGAGCGACUGAUUUCGAAUGGGGGCCUACCCGGCUACCCAUCGAAGCCAAACUCCGAAUACCGGUGUACCAAGGUCGGGCAGCUAGACUGUGGGGGAUAAGCUUCAUAGUCGAGAGGGGAACAACCCAGAUCACCUGCUAAGGUCCCCAAGUCAUACUCAGUGCGAAAGGAAGUUGAACCCCGGAGACAGCCAGGAUGUUGGCUUAGAAGCAGCCACCAUUUAAAAAGUGCGUAAUAGCUUACUGGUCGAGGGGUUCUGCGCCGAUAAUGAACGGGACUCAAGUAUGACACCGAAGCAGUGGGUACAGCAAUGUACGGUAGGAGAGCGUUAUAGUUGCGGCGAAGGUGUACGGACAACGGGCACUGGAGCGACUGCAAGUGAUUAUGUCGGAAUGAGUAGACGAUUAAACGGGUGAGAAUCCCGUUCGCCGUAAACCUAAGGUUUCCUGGGGAAGGUAAAUCCGCCCAGGGUUAGCCGGUACCUAACACAAGGCCGAAAGGCGUAGUGGAUGGCUAGCAGGUUAAUAUUCCUGCGCUCACCGUGCACUAUGGGACGCUGAGUCGAAGUCCAGUAGGCUUAUUAGAUUGCCUCAGGGCGUUUAAGGUCCCGAUAUGGAUGACGACACAGCCAAGAAAACCGCACGGUAACCGUACUAAAACCGACACAGGUAGGUGAGAUGAAUAUUCUAAGGCGCUCGAGAGAACUCUCGUGAAGGAACUCUGCAAGUUAAUUCCGUAACUUCGGGAAAAGGAUUGCCCCCAUCCGUGGGGGUCGCAGUGAAAAGGUUCUGGCGACUGUUUACUAAAAACACAGGUCUGUGCGAACACGUAAGUGGCGGUAUACAGACUGACGCCUGCCCGGUGCUGGUAAGUUAAGGAAGAGGGUUAGCCGUAAGGUGAAGCUCGCAACCGAAGCUCCAGUAAACGGCGGCCGUAACUAUGACGGUCCUAAGGUAGCGAAGUUCCUUGUCGGGUAAGUUCCGACCUGCAUGAAUGGCGUAACGACCGGAACACUGUCUCCACGAGAGACUCGGUGAAAUUGUAGUUGUCGUGAAGAUGCGACAUACCCGCAGCUAGACGGAAAGACCCCGUGAACCUUAACUGUAGCUUGGUAUUGGGUUUAGACCCAACAUGCAUAGCGUAGGUGGGAGACUGUGAAGUGCGGCUUUCGGGUCGCACUGAGUCGCCGAUGAAACACCACCCUUGUUGUGUUCGAAUUCUAACGACGUUUACUGAACCGUAGCGUCGGACCGUGCUAAGUGGGCAGUUUGAUUGGGGCGAUCUCCUCCCU
rnacentral:rRNA from 1 species